rnacentral:rRNA from 1 species
AUUCCUACGGGAGGCAGCAGUGGGGAAUAUUGCACAAUGGGCGCAAGCCUGAUGCAGCCAUGCCGCGUGUAUGAAGAAGGCCUUCGGGUUGUAAAGUACUUUCAGCAGUGAGGAAGGUGGGUAUGUUAAUAGCAUAUUCAUUUGACGUUAGCUGCAGAAGAAGCACCGGCUAACUCCGUGCCAGCAGCCGCGGUAAUACGGAGGGUGCGAGCGUUAAUCGGAAUUACUGGGCGUAAAGCGCAUGCAGGUGGUUUGUUAAGUCAGAUGUGAAAGCCCGGGGCUCAACCUCGGAAUUGCAUUUGAAACUGGCAAACUAGAGUACUGUAGAGGGGGUAGAAUUUCAGGUGUAGCGGUGAAAAUGCGUAGAGAUCUGAAGGAAUACCGGUGGCGAAGGCGGCCCCCUGGACAGAUACUGACACUCAGAUGCGAAAGCGUGGGGAGCAAACAGGAUUAGAUACCCUGGUAG